GUUUUGCGCAAUCUUCUUGUCUUUGUUCGCAUGCUAUUCGUGGACAUAAGCACACGGUGGUUGAACGGAGCGUGUCAGACAUCGUCGACGGUCGGUUCUCCCGUUUCUAGAACACGGACUGACGUCCUGCUGUCAACAGUCUCUUUGUCUUCGUCGCCUAUAACGACAGGAGAGACGGAAGUGUCGCUAGAAGACGGCAGAUUACGUGUUUUGUGGACGGAUAACUUGCCCACUACCACUAUGGAUUGCUCAGUGGCUUCUUCAGAGAUGUCUGACGAGGGAAGUACAAUGGGAGAAACAGAACAAAGUUUCUAAACGGACAAUGAAGUUGGUUUGUUGGUGUGUUGGAGGGUGGUGAUAGAGAUUAAAGUUGUGUGUGCGUGCGUGCGUGCGUGCGUUGGUGUUUGUGUCUGUGUACAUGUGUGCAUGUGUGUUAUACUCAAUGUGUAACGUUCUAGAUGGUCACAACGUUCCAAAGGAGCGACAUUCUCAUUCGGAGUAAUACAUCGAACAACAGCUUUUCCUCACACUCAUUUCUAUCCACCAUCUUCACGACCACACAGCUCAUCAUAGAUCAUGUAAUGCGACAACAAAAUCUGUGAACGUUUAGAAAAGUGACAAGACGAGCUACCCAAGUGCUACUACAAACUGUUAUUGAGCAUGUCGAAGAGUGGGAGGAAGCAAAACAAGAGGAAACCGAAACAAUAUAGACAAGCAAUGAAGGUGGUCUCUUCGAUAAUGAACAACUGCCAUACCUGAAUUCAGUGACUGUGUUCAACAGGAAUGGAUUGACCAUGUUUUCGUCCUCAAAAUUUCCAACAAUCCCAACAACAUAGUCGAGAUCUUGAUGUUUGCUCGUAACUCCCAACCUCUAGCAAUGACGGACUUUCUAUUUCAAGUAACAGUACCUAAGGCAUUCCAGUUAAACAGCCAGUCACCAUCCGGGAAUCUAAUUCUGGCAUCAUGACGCAAAUUAUUCACGUUGUGCAUCCUCAACAGAAACAUGUGCUGCAUUCUUCUGUUUAUCGACCUACACAUGACGUUGCCUCUCAUUUUGAAUUCACCUAAACGAGGUUCUAGGGUAUGCAGCAACAUUUGAGGAUGAGACUUUUGGAUCUCAUACAGUGUGGAUGGAUCCCCUGUGACCGAACAAGGUGAGAUUGGCGAGUAGUGUUUGUAGAACCCAAGUGCUACUACAAACGGUUAUUGAGUAUGUCAAAGAGCAGGAGGAAUUACAAGCGGAAAGCAAGAGAAUACAGGCAGUUGAUGAAGGAGAAACGAAGCGGUCUGUUCCAUGAUGAACAGAUGAUCACAACGUUCCAAAGGAGAGACAUCGUCAUUUAGAGCAAUUCAUCGAACAACUUCUCCUCACACUCUCCCUUAUCCACUAUCCUCAGGCUUUCGUUGAAUUGUUUUAGCAGCCACAAGCUCAUCAUGGAUUCGUGGAACCUGACAAACAAAUGCAGUCAACGUCUAGAGAAAGUGAGAAGACGAGCCACCUAAGUGCUACUACAAACGGUUAUUGAACAUGUCAAAGAGUUGGAGGAAGCACAACAAGCGGAAAGCGAAACAGUACAGACAGGCAAUGAAGGAGAAACAAAGCAUUCUCUUUGAUGAU